UACGUAGGGUGCAAGCGUUGUCCGGAAUUAUUGGGCGUAAAGAGCUCGUAGGCGGUCUGUCGCGUCUGCUGUGAAAACUCAGGGCUUAACCCUGAGCUUGCAGUGGGUACGGGCAGACUAGAGUGCGGUAGGGGAGACUGGAAUUCCGUGGUGAUAGCGGUGAAAUGCGCAGAUAGUCAAGGAGGAACACCGGUGGCGAAGGCGGGUCUCUGGGCCGUAACUGACGCUGGAGGAGCGAAAGCCAUGGGGAGCGAAACAGG
rnacentral:rRNA from 1 species